UUGCUAGUAAUCGCGAAUCAGAAUGUCGCGGUGAAUACGUUCCCGGGCCUUGUACACACCGCCCGUCACACCAUGAGAGUCGAUAACACCCGAAGCCUGUGAGCUAACCUUUUAGGAGGCAGCAGUCGAAGGUGGGGUUGAUGAUUGGGGUGAAGUCGUAACAAGGUACC
rnacentral:rRNA from 1 species